ACGCUCGACACCUACGGGCAGCAGUGGGGAAUAUUGCACAAUGGGGGAAACCCUGAUGCAGCGACGCCGCGUGAGCGAAGAAGUAUUUCGGUAUGUAAAGCUCUAUCAGCAGGGAAGAAACUGACGGUACCUGACUAAGAAGCACCGGCUAAAUACGUGCCCGCAGCCGCGGUAAUCUGAGCGGGCUGGCAAGGC
rnacentral:rRNA from 1 species